rnacentral:misc_RNA from 1 species
GUAUGGAAACCUACUAAGUGAUAACUUUCAAUUCAGGGAAACCCCGGAAUAAAAAUGGGCAAUCCUGAGCCAAAUCCUGUUUUAUCAAAAGAAAAGUUCAUAAAAAAAGGAUAGGUACAGAGACUCAAUGGAAGCUGUUCUAGCAAAUGGGGACACUGGUAAAGGAAUCUUUACACUGAAACGUGAGAAAGGAUCAAGGAGAAAUCGAUCUAUUGAAUACUAUAUCAAAUUAUUAACCGAAUCUCUAGAUGUAUUUUUUGAUAUGAAAAAUAUAAAAAUUGGUGUGAAUUCAUUCAGUAUUGAAUAAAAAUCGAAUUUUUAGUGAUCAAAUCAUUCACUCCAUAGUCCGAUAACCUUUUCAAGAACUGAUGAAUCAGACAGAAUAAAGAUAGAGUCCCCUUCUACAUGUCAAUACUGACAACAAUGAAAUUAUAGUAAGAGGAAAAUCCGUUGACUUUUAAAAUCGUGAGGGUUCAAGUCCCUCUAUCCCCAACAAGCCUAUUUGACUCUCAAAAUCUUUAGCCUACCCUACACCUUUUGGUUACAAAUUCAUUUAUUUUUCUGGUUCUUUGACAAACAUAACGUAGGUGGACGUAAAUGACUUUCUCUUCUCACACGCGAUAUAGAAUACACAUCCAAAAUGAUUCACAAUCAAUAGCUUUACGAAUACUGAAAAAGUGGUCUUUUUGAAGAUCAAAGAAAUUAAAGUACUUGGGAAAAAUUUGUAAUAUACCCCUUUCCUUUAAUUGACAUAGACCCUAGCCAUCGACUAAAAUGAUAAAAUGAGUAUGGGUUACUACGCAGGGAAUGGUCGGGAUAGCUCAGCU